ensembl:snoRNA SNORA72 Small nucleolar RNA SNORA72
CUGCAAAUAUUCUUGCUGUUCUAAUUUUGUAAUAAUCAGGGGAGGUUAAAUAUACACUAUAUUAAGACCAUGCACGUGUCCCCAGACCUACUUCUUUCUCUAGGUCUGGUUUUAUAAAUGCUGUGAUAAAC